rnacentral:rRNA from 1 species
AGGAAAGAGAAGUCGUAACAAGGUUUUCGUAGAUGAACAUGCGGAAGGAUCAUUG